CGCAUCUGUGCAUGCAGCAUAUCAAUAAGCGGAGGAAAAGAGUGCUAUUACCUACGCUUAGGAUGUUGACGAGACUGUCGAUCUCAUCUAUACAUGACUCUGUGCAUAUCAAUAAGCGGAGGAAAAGUAAACUAACAAGGAUUCCCCUAGUAACGGCGAGUGAAGCGGGAAGAGCUCAAAUUUGAAAUCUUAAAGGGUUUCCCUUACGAAUUGUAGUUUAAAGAAGUGUUUUCUGUUGAGGUUUUGGUAAAAGUUCUUUGGAAUAGGACAUCAUAGAGGGUGAGAAUCCCGUAUUUGACCUUUACUUUCAACUUUGUGAUACACUUUCAAAGAGUCGGAUUGUUUGGGAAUGCAGUCCAAAAUGGGUGGUAAAUUUCAUCUAAAGCUAAAUAUUGGCGAGAGACCGAUAGCGAACAAGUACCGUGAGGGAAAGAUGAAAAGAACUUUGAAAAGAGAGUUAAACAGUACGUGAAAUUGUCAAAAGGGAAGCGUUUGACACCAGUGUUGUUUUUCUGAAAAUCAAUUAAAGAACUGUUUAUGCUAAGUUGUUUAGACUUUAUCAGCUAUCUGUUUAGCUUUGAGCUUUUCUUUAAUGCACUUUUCAGUUAACAAGUCAACAUCAAUUUCUUUUGCUGUAAAAAAGCUUGAGGAAGGUGGCUUGAGAUUCGUCUUAAGUGUUUAUAGCCUCUUGCCUAUGCAGUCGGAGAGAUUGAGGUCUGCAGCGUAGAUCCUUCGGGGCUAAAUGCAUUUGUGCUAAGUUAUAGCAUUUUAUAGACAACUUGUUGACUAUGAUUUGUCUUGUAGCUUACUCGCUUAUGUUAUUUUACCUACGCUUAGGAUGUUGAGUCGUAGAGCACGCAG
rnacentral:rRNA from 1 species